GGGGGGAGGGGCAGGCGGAUGGCGGCCGCUCUCGCGAGGCUUGGGCGGCGCCGCGGAGGCCGUUUUGAACGGCGGCAGCGGGGCCGGCGCGGCCGUUGGGCUGAGAUGUAAGGAGACUGGUUUCUGUCGCGCCCACCUGCUGCCUCAGGGUUGGAGACCGUUCCUCAUGCUGGCAGUUACACACUGACUAGAGGGAGCACACAAUACAAAGUUAGACCCAGGCAUCAAGCUGUUUCAGAAAAGGACUGUUAUGGAGAGCUUUGCUCUAGCUGUGGUUUAUACUCAUCCAGACUAGACAACUGUUGCCAUCUUUAAAAAGGCAGAACAAGAGAAUAAACUCAAAGACUUAAAUGGACUUCUGAAGUCUGG
rnacentral:lncRNA from 1 species